rnacentral:sRNA from 1 species
CAGCGUUGCCUGGCUACCCAGCUCAUUAAACAUGGCGACCCGAGUGUGAGCCCUCGGUCCGUCCCUCGGCUCCUGGCAUGGAAGGCCCUCUUUAAAGAGUUUGUUUCCUGUUCAAAUGGUUUACACAUUUGAUAAUAAAAGAUAAUAAACAUUCCAUCCCAUUCAAUUCUACAUCGGACUAAGAAAGUCUUCCUCAGGUCUUUGCUUUGUUUGACUGGGAGCAGAGCACACAGGGCAGCAAAUGAACCAGGGCCCCGUGCUGUGCAAAACUGCCAUUAUCAGUAGCAGCUGUUGGCUUGCAAGGUGGACAGGCAGUGAGAGGCAACGUCACUGUCCGAGCUGUUCAGCUGGGUUUGGACAGGAGACUGAACUUCCCUGCUUUGCAGAGGACUGCCGUGUUCUCUCCUCUGCACCACCGCUGUUUGGACUCCAGAUUCAAGAAGAAAAUUUGAAAGAUUAUCACAAUUCUACAUCUCAUUUAGAUUUUUUUUCAUGGUAUGGACCUUGAAAGAACGGUUUACCGAGACCUUGCAAGUUGAAGCCUGGGUAUUGAUUGCCUCCUUCACUUCCCAACCACAUCCACAGCGAUUUGCCUUCAAAUAAUCUUCGAUGAAUUGUUCAUUUUACAACCACGGGAAGCGAUCAGUGUGCAUCGAAGGGCCGCAGAGAUUGCCUUCGUCCUCCCAGAACUUGGGUUUUUCCUGCCUCCUCAGCCGGCUUCCAGGAGGAUUCUCUAAGGCAUACUCAUCCCGGCCCCCUGUGGUCUUCCCACUGGCUUAUGGACCCAGCUGGGGGCAAAAUGGGCUUCUGCUUGGCUUCCAUGGUUCGCUGGGAAACUGGCCCAUCUCCAGGAAGGGAAUACUUGGCUGCAGCCACUACAUUGUCCCUGGCAUGAGGCCCUGAAGGAGAGGGACUAGGCUGUUAAGUCUCUCAUGAUCCAUGUGAAUUACUUCCAUGAUAAAGCUGGCUCAGAAAUGCCCCAGCUCUCCAAACUACUUCUUCAUCUGCCUCCACAGACCCCAUCAUCAUCUGAACAUCAGCCCGGGAUCCAACUCAAGCCCCGGCCUUCACAGCCAGUAGCCUUAACCCUACUGGGCCAUCUAACCAGCCCCCAUUCAUACAUAUUUUUGGUCUUGCAGCCCCCUGGAGGAUUCAAGGCCCUGCUCUACCACAAAAGCCUGUCUCAUCUGUCUCUUACCCCUCCAUGACUCUCAGGGAAGGGCACGUCUUUACUCCUUGUGUAUAUAGGAGGGAAAGGGAAAGACAGGCCGGGAGCUCACAGGUGCUCUCCCACACCAUGAACUUGGACAUCCUCCUGCACAGUAGAUUCCAGUCUUGGUUCUCCUUGCCUUGAAUAUCUGAGGAACUCACCUCGGUGAAUAGAGGUGAGAUAUUGCAGUGAUGAACUGGCCAGGUCCCAGGAAGGGAGCUCCAGCAGGGACACGGGCCUGUGAGGGAGAAGCUGGGGUGUUUCUGCACCCUCUGGACUCUUCACUGACAGAGCCUUCGAGGGAGAAGCUGGGGUGCUUCUGUACCCUCUGGACUCUUCAUUGCCGUUAUCUCUCCAGCAGCCUUGGGGUCCCAUUUGUUCUUCUAACAACCAUGCCUUUUCCCGUUUAUGGGCACCCAGGGGCAGGAGGUGGAAGCCCCACAAGGCUCUGACUGAGGAAUUGGCCCCCAUUUGCCUGUUGACAGCAGCCUCAGAGCUGAGAGUGCAGACAGGAAGACCCACACUGUGGAGUUUAAUUGGCAAUUAGAGACAGUGGCCUCCAGUGGGCCAUCACGCCACCAUCUUCAGGAGAAGAAAAUUGAUCGUGACUCCGAAAGCACACAACUUGAAGGAGAGAGACCAGCUCGGAACCUCGAGGCCAGCGAGAGGCGCGCACAACACGGGAACAGUGGGGAAGCACACUGCAUUAUUUACUGCCAUAAAAGGCAAGACUGGAGUUUUAUCAUAGAACCUGUGUCUGCAUAAAAGAACCUGACAGGGCAGAUCAAUAAACAAGGGAAUUGCUUGUCUGGAA